UGGAUAGAUAGAUCCUGGAUACAUGCCUCAGUACAACCGCACACUAGUCCAGGCCCCGAGCCUGUGUGCUGGCUCAGUGGUGAUGCCAUCUGCUAAGUGUGGACUCCUUGGGUUCACUUUACUUGAUUGGGUCUUGCAUGUGGGGCCUGUGAGGGAGUCCAGGGGGAGGAGGAACCAGGCGGUGGUCAGUCCUAAGUACUAGCCCCAGGGUUUGAACUUCCUAGAAAAAGUACAGGGGAUUCUAGGUGGGGUCAGUGGGUGAGGAUGUGUUUCACUGUGACGUCCCCGAGGCAGUGAGGACAGGCGGGGAGGUGGUGAGGCUGAGGGACUGCCUGCCUCCCUGCC
rnacentral:lncRNA from 1 species